rnacentral:rRNA from 1 species
GAUGAACGCUAGCGGCAGGCCUAACACAUGCAAGUCGAGGGGUAGAGUUCUUCGGGACUUGAGACCGGCGCACGGGUGCGUAACGCGUAUGCAAUCUACCUUAUACAGGGGAAUAGCCCCAGAGAAAUUUGGAUUAAUGCCCCAUAGUGUUAUCGAAUCGCAUGGUUUGAUAACUAAAGUUCCAACGGUAUAAGAUGAGCAUGCGUCCCAUUAGUUAGUUGGUAAGGUAACGGCUUACCAAGACAACGAUGGGUAGGGGUCCUGAGAGGGAGAUCCCCCACACUGGUACUGAGACACGGACCAGACUCCUACGGGAGGCAGCAGUGAGGAAUAUUGGACAAUGGGCGCAAGCCUGAUCCAGCCAUGCCGCGGUAAAGUGACUACUG